CUUUGAGUAACUAAAAUAAGUGUUGAACUUUUGAUUCAAUAAUGGUUGACCCCCCAAAGU
rnacentral:tRNA from 1 species